AUCCCCUGGCAAUGGGCAAAGACACGCCAUGUUGGUAUUCUUCUAUCACUCAGGGGCAGAGCAGAUGGCAGUCCUUUGUUUAUCCUAGCUUGAUGCUUGGCUUGGUAGCCAAAACUGUCUCAAGCCUAGGGCACAUAA